rnacentral:lncRNA from 1 species
CAUGUUUGUGCUGCCUCUGGAGCCCGAAAUGCCUCCAGCCUGGAGGAGGUAAGCAAGGGCUGCUUUACAGCUUCCCCACAGUUGUUUUGAAAAAUCUUUUCAGUUUUUUUUCCCCUAUGUGUUUCAAGGUCAGAAAAGAAAAAAUUAGCUCUGAAAUAUGAAUCAAAGUCUUAAGCUCCAGCCUUAGGAAAGAAAGAUGCUAUAAUAAACAAAGCUGUAUGAAAUGAAGGAUUGUGAGAGGCUCAGAGGUCUGUCUCUCCUGCUAUAAAACCUCCUUUAUUCCUGUGGCUCCUACAUGGACUCCCUACUCCUCCAAUUUUCCUCAUUGCUUCAGUGCUUCAUAGCUCUCCUUAAGUCUCUCCCCCUCAGGCUUGGGCUCAAUUUGUCAUUGUCCUUGCAUCAUCUUCACAGCAAUGAUUUCUCAUUCUGAUUUAUUUAGUAUUUUGCAAACCUCUGCAUUAGAACAAAAGAUGAAGUGACUUCAAGGAGAUGAUAAAUUGGGUUGGUUUUUUUUUUCUUCAAAGCCCUGGUCCUCAUCUUGGUAAACAGACAUUUCUCCCUGGCAAUGAAUUCCAUGUUUGGAUCUGCAGCACAGGCUGAGGGAUGCUGGGUGAAGGAAUUCCACUGGAGAAGGGCUCUGUGCUUUGCACAGCUGAAUAGCUGCAGUAGCAGUGGGGUGCAAUAUAUCAGGCACAUCAGGAACCUCCUGCAUUGCUGCUGUGGGCCCUCUGAAGCUGUGACUCCCCUUGUCUAUUGACCUUUCCUUGCUGGUGGAAGGAUUUGGCUGCUGAGAAGCUGCUGGAUGUAAAGAGCUCAAUGUGCAGCACAAGACACAAGAUUUAAAUUGCUGGUGGAAGAGCAGUGUCCCCUUCCAGGACUGCAGGGGUCCCUUCUGGAGCCCAGAGUGUGGUGGCUGAUCCCAGAGCAGUGUCAUUGCUGGAAUCCACAGGGACCCUGCCACUGUUCCAGGUUUCUGUGCAGGGUUUACAGGGAAAUGGAGAUUGGGUCAUAUUGAACUCUGCUGGUGUUCGUUGGUGCAAACUUUCACAGCCAUGCAAUUUUAAGGUUUAAUUAUGUGCUGUGACUCCCAGAUUAAAGUAUGAUGACUUACACAUAACAGAAUGGGACAAAAAGCAGAGAAAUUAUUCCAAAGUUCUGGUUUCUCAGAAGAAAUAAUUUCCUUGAUCAAGUAACAUUCUCAAUUACUGAAAAACAGAGUG